rnacentral:lncRNA from 1 species
AGAACGUCCCCAAAAUAUCCCCAAAAUCACCCCAAAAUAUCCUUAAAAUAUCGCCAAAACAUCCCCAAAAUUACCCCAAAACAUCCCCAGAACGUCCCCAAAAUAUCCCCAAAAUCACCCCAAAACAUCCCCAAAAUAUCCCCAAAAUCACCCGAAAAUCACCCCAAAACGUCCCCAAAAUAUCCCCAAAACGUCCCCAAAACAUCCCCAAAAUCACCCCAAAAUAUCCCCCAGAGACCCCAAAACCAGCCUAGGACACCCCAAAAUGUCCUGGGGACCCCGAAAUGUCCCUUUGUGGACCCCAAAAUCCAUCCAGGAACCCCAAAAUAUCCCCAGGGAUCCCCAAAAUCAUCCUGGGAACCCCAAAAUCCUCCCAGGGACACCCAAAAUCUCCCUUGGGGGCCCCAAAAUCCCAACAGGACCCCCAAAAUCUCCCUUGGGGACCCCAAAAUCCAUCCAGGAUCCCCAAAAUCCAUCCAGGAACCCCAAAAUCUCCCUUGGGGACCCCAAAAUCCAUCCAGGACCCCCAAAAUCUCCCUUGGGGACCCCAAAAUCCCAACAGGACCCCAAAAUAUCCCUUGGGGACCCCAAAAUCCAUCCAGGAUCCCCAAAAUCCAUCCAGGAACCCCAAAAUAUCCCUUGGGGACCCCAAAAUCCAUCCAGGAACCCCAAAAUCUCCCUUGGGGACCCCAAAAUCCAUCCAGGAUCCCCAAAAUCUCCCCAGGGACUCCCAAAAUCUCCCCAGGGAUCCCCAAAUCCCAACAGGACCACAAAAUAUCCCUUGGGGACCCCAAAAUCCCAUCAGGACUCCCAAAAUCUCCCCAGAGACCCCCAAAAUGUCCCUUGGGACCCCGAAAAUGUCCCUUGGGGACCCCAAAAUGCCGCCGGGACCCUCAGGGACCCCCCAAAAUCCCCCCAAAAUCCCCGACCCCCCGCAGCCGUCGGCGUUCGAGGAGCUCGCGGUGGCCAAGGUGGACGAUCUGCUGGAGAGCUACAUGGGAAUCCGGGACAGCGAGCUGGGUGAGCCCCCAAAUCCGGGACCCCAAAAUUGGGGACCCCCAAAAUCCUGGGGAGCCCCAAAAUCCUGGGGAACCCCAAAAUCCUGGGGGAAUUCCCAAAAAA